rnacentral:rRNA from 1 species
UACGUAGGGUGCAAGCGUUAAUCGGAAUUACUGGGCGUAAAGCGUGCGCAGGCGGCUUUGCAAGACAGAUGUGAAAUCCCCGGGCUCAACCUGGGAACUGCAUUUGUGACUGCAUGGCUAGAGUGCGGCAGAGGGGGAUGGAAUUCCGCGUGUAGCAGUGAAAUGCGUAGAUAUGCGGAGGAACACCGAUGGCGAAGGCAAUCCCCUGGGCCUGCACUGACGCUCAUGCACGAAAGUGUGGGGAGCAAACAGG